GAUGAACGCUGGCGGCGUGCCUAAUACAUGCAAGUCGAGCGAACGGACGAGAAGCUUGCUUUUCUGAUGUUAGCGGCGGACGGGUGAGUAACACGUGGAUAACCUACCUAUAAGACUGGGAUAACUUCGGGAAACCGGAGCUAAUACCGGAUAAUAUUUUGAACCGCAUGGUUCAAAAGUGAAAGACGGUCUUGCUGUCACUUAUAAAUGGAUCCGCGCUGCAUUAGCUAGUUGGUAAGGUAACGGCUUACCAAGGCAACGAUGCAUAGCCGACCUGAGAGGGUGAUCGGCCACACUGGAACUGAGACACGGUCCAGACUCCUACGGGAGGCAGCAGUAGGGAAUCUUCCGCAAAGGGCGAAAGCCUGACGGAGCAACGCCGCGUGAGUGAUGAAGGUCUUCGGAUCGUAAAACUCUGUUAUUAGGGAAGAACAUAUGUGUAAGUAACUGUGCACAUCUUGACGGUACCUAAUCAGAAAGCCACGGCUAACUACGUG
rnacentral:rRNA from 1 species